GGCCCUMGGGUUGUAAACUCCUGUYMUSGGAGAGUAAGGUCACCGGUACUAACUGACUUGUGGAUUGAUAGUUUCUGAAGAGGAAGAGACGGCUAACUCUGUGCCAGCAGCCGCGGUAAUACARAGGUCUCAAGCGUUGUUCGGAAUUACUGGGCGUAAAGCAUGCGUARGCUCCGAGGUAAGUCAGAUGAGAAAUCCCGGGGCUCARCCACKGAACUGCAUCCGAUACUGCCUUGCUUSAGUAKGGGAGGGGCGACUGGAAUUCACGGUGUAGCARUGAAAUGCGUARAUAUCGUGAGGAACACUGKUAGCGAAGGCGAGUCGCUGGACACUUACUGACGCUGAGGCACGAAGGCCAGGGUAGCGAAAGGGAUUAGAUACCCCUGUAGUCCUGGCAGUAAACGGUGCACGUUUGGUGUGGGAGGAUUCGACCCCUUCCSUGCCGUAGCUAACGSGUUAAACGUGCCGCCUGGRGAGUACUGKCGCAAGAUUAAAACUCAAAGAAAUUGAUGGGACCCGCACAAGCGGUGGAGUAUGUGGYUUAAUUCGAUGCAACGCSAAGAACCUUACCUGGGCUUGACAUGCUUGUCAUAGUCCCGUGAAAGCGRGACGUCAGUUCGGCUGGACUUGCACAGUGUGCUGCAUGGCUGUCGUCAGCUCSUGUCSUGAGAUGUUSSCUUAASUCCCGCAACRAGCGCAACCGCUGUGAACWGUUGCCAG
rnacentral:rRNA from 1 species